rnacentral:rRNA from 1 species
UACGGAGGGAGCUAGCGUUGUUCGGAAUUACUGGGCGUAAAGCGCACGUAGGCGGCUUUGUAAGUUAGAGGUGAAAGCCCGGGGCUCAACUCCGGAACUGCCUUUAAGACUGCAUCGCUUGAAUCCAGGAGAGGUGAGUGGAAUUCCGAGUGUAGAGGUGAAAUUCGUAGAUAUUCGGAGGAACACCGGUGGCGAAGGCGGCUUCCUGGACCGACACUGACGCUGAGGCGCGAAAGCUAGGGGAGCAAACGGG